rnacentral:tRNA from 2 species
GGGUUGGAUGUCUAAUUGUCCAGGCGGUAAUGAUAGUAGGCGAUGGUUUACCCUGUGGCGGAUGUCAGCGGUU